ensembl:lncRNA
GUGAUGAUGCGGCACCUUUCGCAGGUUGGUGUGAAGGUGUGAAGCUGUGGACUCUGCUAUGAAUCAGGCUGAGGACCCAGAGGACGGAGUCCGUCCCUCUGAAGCUCCUCUGUGUGGGGAACAUGACAGCCAGACCACAGCUCAGAGGACCCAUCAGAGACCUGGACCUGAUCCUGAACCCAGCUGUGUGUCCAUGAAGAGUAACCGGUUUAUGGAGACUCCUUAAAACUUCAAAGAUGUUCGUCCCUCUGUAGAUGCGAGAUGAUGAUCUCAGGCUGAUGAUGAGGUGUUUCUCAGGAAUCAGGAAACAUUAAUCACCAUAAUCUGUGAGAUACACAAGGAAUGUGACUUGGCGGUUGGUGCGUAACAGCAGACAGUACGACAAUGGAUGACAAGACAACAGUGCAGGAGGAAUAAAAUAAAAUAUAAGGCUAUGGGUUAGUUUAAAAAUAAAGGAAUAACAGUUCGUUAAAGCUAUUUCAAAAUUAAAAAGAAAGUGCACCAGCAAACAGAAAGUGACAAGUGAAAGUGACAUGUGCAGUGUGAAGGGGAGUGAUGGACCUCAGCCUCCUGCCAGAUGGAAGGGGCACUAACAGGUUUUGUCCGGGGUGAGAGGGGUCGGCUACCAUCUUUUUAGCUGCUUCAGAGACCUGGAAGCGAACAAGUCCUGCAGGGACGGCAGAUUGCAGCCGAUCAGCCUCUCUGCAGAGCGGAGGACACGCUGCAGCCUGCCCUUGUCCUUGGCUGUGGCUGCAGCGUACCAGACGCUGACGGAGGAGCAGAGGAUGGACUCCAUGAUGGCCGUGUAGAAGUGGACCAUCGUCGUCUUUGGCAGGUUGAAUUUCUUCAGCUGCCUCAGGAAGAACAACCUCUGCUGAGCCUUCUUGGUGAUGGAGCUCGAGGUCCUGGGUGAUGAUGGCGCCCAGGAAACGGGAGGAAUCCACGGUGGUGUAAAAGCGACUUACGUCGCAUUUUUAACCCACUGCUUUUUACAUUUUGCUCAGGGACACUUCGACAUGGGACGGGGUUUUAUAUGUUGUAAAUGUGUAAAACCCACUUUACUAAUAAAAUAACUUUUUGAUGAGUUUUAA